GUGUCGGUCCUUUGAAAUACAGAGAAAAGCUAGAGCCCCAAAAUGGCUAUUUUGCACCUGCCUGCUGCCUCUCCUUCUCUUCCAGCUGUUUCCUGUUUCGUGUUCUUACCUUUGUUGUGCUGAGGACUGAACAGAAGUGGAAGAACUUCCAAAAUGUAUUUCCUGAGAUUAACAGCCCAGUAUUGCAAAUGUGUGAAAUUAGGAGAGAUUUUUAAAUAAAAGGGGAUCCUUUUGAGAUGCUGAUAAAUCUGCAUGAAGUCAGAUUUUUACCACUGUAAAGCAACUGCAGCAGGAAGGUUUGUCUGAAAUCUGACUGAAAAUUUAUAUCCUGUAAAGAAAACUGUUUAAUCAAGGAAUCUGUGAGCUACAAUUGUAAAUUUUUGCACUAGUAGGACACUUCAAGGAGAUAGGAUCUGGACCACAGCCUUCAGUGGUAAUGGGCAGAGCAGCUGGG